GAUGAACGCUAGCUACAGGCUUAACACAUGCAAGUCGAGGGGAAACGGCAUUGAGUGCUUGCACUCUUUGGACGUCGACCGGCGCACGGGUGAGUAACGCGUAUCCAACCUUCCCAUUACUGUGGGAUAACCUGCCGAAAGGCAGACUAAUACCGCAUAGUCUUCGAUGACGGCAUCAGAUUUGAAGUAAAGAUUUAUCGGUAAUGGAUGGGGAUGCGUCUGAUUAGCUUGUUGGCGGGGUAACGGCCCACCAAGGCGACGAUCAGUAGGGGUUCUGAGAGGAAGGUCCCCCACAUUGGAACUGAGACACGGUCCAAACUCCUACGGGAGGCAGCAGUGAGGAAUAUUGGUCAAUGGACGGAAGUCUGAACCAGCCAAGUAGCGUGCAGGAUGACGGCCCUAUGGGUUGUAAACUGCUUUUGUAUGGGGAUAAAGUUAGGGACGUGUCCCUAUUUGCAGGUACCAU
rnacentral:rRNA from 1 species